GAAAUCGAGUAGGACGGAGCACGAGAAACUUUGUCUGAACAUGGGGGGACCAUCCUCCAAGGCUAAAUACUACUGACUGACCGAUAGUGAACCAGUACCGUGAGGGAAAGGCGAAAAGAACCCCGGAGAGGGGAGUGAAAUAGAUCCUGAAACCGUAUGCGUACAAGCAGUGGGAGCCUACUUUGUUAGGUGACUGCGUACCUUUUGUAUAAUGGGUCAGCGACUUAUAUUCAGUGGCGAGCUUAACCGAAUAGGGGAGGCGUAGCGAAAGCGAGUCUUAAUAGGGCGUUUAGUCGCUGGGUAUAGACCCGAAACCGGGCGAUCUAUCCAUGGGCAGGUUGAAGGUUGGGUAACACUAACUGGAGGACCGAACCGACUACCGUUGAAAAGUUAGCGGAUGACCUGUGGAUCGGAGUGAAAGGCUAAUCAAGCUCGGAGAUAGCUGGUUCUCCUCGAAAGCUAUUUAGGUAGCGCCUCAUGUAUCACUGUAGGGGGUAGAGCACUGUUUCGGCUAGGGGGUCAUCCCGACUUACCAAACCGAUGCAAACUCCGAAUACCUACAAGUGCCGAGCAUGGGAGACACACGGCGGGUGCUAACGUCCGUCGUGAAAAGGGAAACAACCCAGACCGUCAGCUAAGGUCCCAAAGUCAUGGUUAAGUGGGAAACGAUGUGGGAAGGCUUAGACAGCUAGGAGGUUGGCUUAGAAGCAGCCACCCUUUAAAGAAAGCGUAAUAGCUCACUAGUCGAGUCGGCCUGCGCGGAAGAUGUAACGGGGCUCAAACCAUGCACCGAAGCUACGGGUAUCACCUUUUGGUGAUGCGGUAGAGGAGCGUUCUGUAAGCCUGUGAAGGUGAGUUGAGAAGCUUGCUGGAGGUAUCAGAAGUGCGAAUGCUGACAUGAGUAACGACAAUGCGAGUGAAAAACUUGCACGCCGAAAGACCAAGGUUUCCUGCGCAACGUUAAUCGACGCAGGGUUAGUCGGUCCCUAAGGCGAGGCUGAAAAGCGUAGUCGAUGGAAAACAGGUUAAUAUUCCUGUACUUCCGAUUGUUGCGAUGGAGGGACGGAGAAGGC
rnacentral:rRNA from 1 species